GCGGUGGAGCAUGUGGUUUAAUUCGAAGCAACGCGAAGAACCUUACCAGGUCUUGACAUCCCUGACAACCCGAGAGAUCGGGCGUUCCCCUUCGGGGGACAGGGUGACAGGUGGUGCAUGGUUGUCGUCAGCUCGUGUCGUGAGAUGUUGGGUUUAAGUCCCGCAACGAGCGCAACCCUCGACCUUAGUUGCCAGCAUUCAGUUGGGCACUCUAAGGUGACUGCCGGCUAAAAGUCGGAGGAAGUGGGGAUGACGUCAAAUCAUCAUGCCCCUUAUGACCUGGGCUACACACGUGCUACAAUGGGCGGUACAAAGGGUCGCGAACCCGCGAGGGGGAGCCAAUCCCAAAAAGCCGCUCUCAGUUCGGAUUGCAGGCUGCAACUCGCCUGCAUGAAGCCGGAAUCGCUAGUAAUCGCGGAUCAGCAUGCCGCGGUGAAUACGUUCCCGGGCCUU
rnacentral:rRNA from 1 species